rnacentral:rRNA from 1 species
CCUACGGGUGGCUGCAGUGAGGAAUAUUGGUCAAUGGACGAGAGUCUGAACCAGCCAAGUAGCGUGAAGGAUGACUGCCCUAUGGGUUGUAAACCUCUUUUAUAUGGGAAUAAAACGUUGCACGUGCCGGAUUUUGUAUGUACCAUAUGAAUAAGGAUCGGCUAACUCCGUGCCAGCACCCGCGGUAAUACGGAGGAUCCGAGCGUUAUCCGGAUUUAUUGGGUUUAAAGGGAGCGUAGGUGGUUUGUUAAGUCAGUUGUGAAAGUUUGCGGCUCAACCGUAAAAUUGCAGUUGAAACUGGCAGUCUUGAGUACGGUAGAGGUAGGCGGAAUGCGUGGUGUAGCGGUGAAAUGCUUAGAUAUCACGAAGAACCCCGAUUGCGAAGGCAGUUCACUGGAGUACAACUGACGCUGAGGCUCGAAAGUGUGGGUAUCAAACAGGAUUAGAUACCCGGGUAGUC